rnacentral:rRNA from 1 species
GAUGAACGCUAGCGGCAGGCCUAAUACAUGCAAGUCGAACGAAGCAGCAAUGCUUAGUGGCGCACGGGUGCGUAACACGUAUGUAACCUACCUUUUACUGGGGGAUAACUUCUCGAAAGAGAAGCUAAUACCGCAUAAUACAUUAAAGUCACCUGAUUUAAAUGUUAAAAGAUUUAUUGGUAAAAGAUGGGCAUGCGUCCAAUUAGCUAGUUGGUAGUGUAACGGACCACCAAGGCUACGAUUGGUAGGGGGUCUGAGAGGAUGGUCCCCCACACUGGUACUGAGAUACGGACCAGACUCCUACGGGAGGCAGCAGUAGGGAAUAUUGGGCAAUGGACGAAAGUCUGACCCAGCCAUGCCGCGUGCAGGAUGAAGGCCCUCUGGGUUGUAAACUGCUUUUGACAGGGAAGUAAUACACCAUGCGUGGUGGGCUGACGGUACCUGUAGAAUAAGCACCGGCUAACUCCGUGCCAGCAGCCGCGGUAAU